UACGGAGGGUGCGAGCGUUGUCCGGAAUCACUGGGCGUAAAGCGCGCGCAGGCGGCGGUAUAAGCAUGGCGUGAAAGCCCCAGGCUCAACCUGGGAGGGUCGUCGUGGACUGUACCGCUUGAGGGCGAUAGGGGCUGGUGGAAUGCCUGGUGUAGUGGUGAAAUGCGUAAGAUACAGGCGGAACACCCGUGGCGAAGGCGACAUCCUGGACCGGUAUUGACGCUGAGGCGCGAAAGCCAGGGGAGCAAACGGG
rnacentral:rRNA from 1 species